GGGCCGUUAGCUCAGCGGAUAGAGCAUCCGGCUUCUAACCGGAUUGUCGGGAGUUCGAGUCUCCCACGGCCCU
rnacentral:tRNA from 1 species